CGACCGGCGCACAGGUGAGUAACACGUAUGGAACCUGCCCGCAGCAGGGGGAUAAGCGGAAGAAAUUCCGUCUAAUACCGCGUAACACCGCGGAGGGGCAUCCCUCGGCGGUUAAAGAUUCAUCGGCUGCGGAUGGCCAUGCGGCGCAUUAGCUAGUCGGCGGGGUAACGGCCCACCGAGGCGACGAUGCGUAGGGGUUCUGAGAGGAAGGUCCCCCACACUGGUACUGAGACACGGACCAGACUCCUACGGAAGGCAGCAG
rnacentral:rRNA from 1 species